rnacentral:tRNA from 7 species
GCUAUAGCUCAGUUGGAUAGAGCGACCGCCUCCUAAGCGGUAGGCCGGAGGUUCAAAUCCUCUUAGC